UACGUAGGGUGCAAGCGUUGUCCGGAAUUAUUGGGCGUAAAGAGCUUGUAGGCGGUUUGUCGCGUCUGCUGUGAAAUUUCGGGGCUCAACCCCGAACUUGCAGUGGGUACGGGCAGACUAGAGUGUGGUAGGGGAGACUGGAAUUCCUGGUGUAGCGGUGAAAUGCGCAGAUAUCAGGAGGAACACCGAUGCGAAGGCAGGUCUCUGGGCCAUAACUACGUGAGAAACGAAA
rnacentral:rRNA from 1 species